CGAAUGCUGACAUAAGUAACGAUAAAGCGGGUGAAAAGCCCGCUCGCCGGAAGACCAAGGGUUCCUGUCCAACGUUAAUCGGGGCAGGGUGAGUCGACCCCUAAGGCGAGGCCGAAAGGCGUAGUCGAUGGGAAACAGGUUAAUAUUCCUGUACUUGGUGUUACUGCGAAGGGGGGACGGAGAAGGCUAUGUUGGCCGGGCGACGGUUGUCCCGGUUUAAGCGUGUAGGCUGGUUUUCCAGGCAAAUCCGGAAAAUCAAGGCUGAGGCGUGAUGACGAGGCACUACGGUGCUGAAGCAACAAAUGCCCUGCUUCCAGGAAAAGCCUCUAAGCAUCAGGUAACAACAAAUCGUACCCCAAACCGACACAGGUGGUCAGGUAGAGAAUACCAAGGCGCUUGAGAGAACUCGGGUGAAGGAACUAGGCAAAAUGGUGCCGUAACUUCGGGAGAAGGCACGCUGAUAUGUAGGUGAAGCGACUUGCUCGUGGAGCUGAAAUCAGUCGAAGAUACCAGCUGGCUGCAACUGUUUAUUAAAAACACAGCACUGUGCAAACACGAAAGUGGACGUAUACGGUGUGACGCCUGCCCGGUGCCGGAAGGUUAAUUGAUGGGGUUAGCGGUAACGCGAAGCUCUUGAUCGAAGCCCCGGUAAACGGCGGCCGUAACUAUAACGGUCCUAAGGUAGCGAAAUUCCUUGUCGGGUAAGUUCCGACCUGCACGAAUGGCGUAAUGAUGGCCAGGCUGUCUCCACCCGAGACUCAGUGAAAUUGAACUCGCUGUGAAGAUGCAGUGUACCCGCGGCAAGACGGAAAGACCCCGUGAACCUUUACUAUAGCUUGACACUGAACAUUGAGCCUUGAUGUGUAGGAUAGGUGGGAGGCUUUGAAGUGUGGACGCCAGUCUGCAUGGAGCCGACCUUGAAAUACCACCCUUUAAUGUUUGAUGUUCUAACGUAGGCCCCUUAUCGGGGUUGCGGACAGUGUCUGGUGGGUAGUUUGACUGGGGCGGUCUCCUCCUAAAGAGUAACGGAGGAGCACGAAGGUUGGCUAAUCCUGGUCGGACAUCAGGAGGUUAGUGCAAUGGCAUAAGCCAGCUUGACUGCGAGCGUGACGGCGCGAGCAGGUGCGAAAGCAGGUCAUAGUGAUCCGGUGGUUCUGAAUGGAAGGGCCAUCGCUCAACGGAUAAAAGGUACUCCGGGGAUAACAGGCUGAUACCGCCCAAGAGUUCAUAUCGACGGCGGUGUUUGGCACCUCGAUGUCGGCUCAUCACAUCCUGGGGCUGAAGUAGGUCCCAAGGGUAUGGCUGUUCGCCAUUUAAAGUGGUACGCGAGCUGGGUUUAGAACGUCGUGAGACAGUUCGGUCCCUAUCUGCCGUGGGCGCUGGAGAACUGAGGGGGGCUGCUCCUAGUACGAGAGGACCGGAGUGGACGCAUCACUGGUGUUCGGGUUGUCAUGCCAAUGGCACUGCCCGGUAGCUAAAUGCGGAAGAGAUAAGUGCUGAAAGCAUCUAAGCACGAAACUUGCCCCGAGAUGAGUUCUCCCUGACCCUUUAAGGGUCCUGAAGGAACGUUGAAGACGACGACGUUGAUAGGCCGGGUGUGUAAGCGCAGCGAUGCGUUGAGCUAACCGGUACUAAUGAACCGUGAGGCUUAACCUU
rnacentral:rRNA from 1 species